CAGAAGACUUUCUGGAACAAAUAAGCCAAAUGAAUGCCUAGAAGUGGAAAUGUUAACUAGCGACAUAAGAUCAGAGUACAGCUGUGCCUAAAUGUACCAGGCUUCUGGCCCAGUGAGCAAAGUCUGUGAAAGAUUAAAAAGAGAGAAAGAGAGAGAGAGAGAGAGAGAGAGAGAGAGAGAGAGAGAGAGAGAGAAACUAUACUGCUUUUCCUAAAUUCAAAGAGUAAACUUUUGCCACAUAAAUUCAGAUUUUCUGGAAUGAGACAUGAGAAAUGAAGAAAGCAAACUUGGUUGAUUUUAAGGAGGAGCAAAUCAUGAAGCUGGAGAAAGGAAUGGAGUUGCAGGCAGAAGAGGUGGCAGGAGAAAUUGCCUGUAAGGAAACCCACAUGUGCUUGUAAGGAAAGCAGCCCAGCAGAGCUGGAUGGAGAAAACACCCAAGGUGCCUGAGAAGCAACCAGCCUCAGGAGUGGGUCUGAAGCUCCCCGCCCAUUUUCUCAUCAGCAAGAUGAAGCAGUGUCAUCUACUCCACAGCGUUGUUAUGAGGACUGGAGAUAAAUAACUUCCCUAUUAGAAUGCUUUGCACAUAGCUAUUACUAGAAAAAUUAUUGUAACUACUAUUUAACUUAUUGCCCCCAAUUGGGGGCUGUUCAGGAUUAACAUAGUACCAGAAUUUAAUCACUCUGGAGAGGAUGCCAGGUAUAAAGAUCAAAUCAUUCUGCCUUUCUGCCAUCUCAUCUGUGUCUGGCAAUAACUCGGCCUAACCACUCUAUUCUGCCCUAUUUUCCAGCUCAUUUUGAGGGUUUUUGUUUUGUUUUGUUUUGUUUUGUUGACAAUGAACACAAUAUUUGGUGGUUUCUCUGGUGUUAUUGCCCUUCUAGGCCAUACUGGUUUCCUUCAAUUAUUCUCUGGGGCAAGGAUGACUAGAUAAUCCUUGAUAUUCUCUCAUUUCUCUCCCAUUUCUGCUUCCAUGUAAUUACCAAAUCCAUCUCUCACAAGCACGUUACUGAAGCUUAAUAAAAACAGAGA
rnacentral:lncRNA from 1 species